UAUGGCAGCUAGAAGUAUUGAAAAGACGUAUAAUAGAUUUAACAAUGUUUUAUCUUCUUUAUUAGUGUAUGUAAAUCUGGGCUACAGUCCACGACAAAUUUUCUACUGUAGUUUUACGCCUUCAUGCUCGUCAUCUCGUCUAUCGCGGGGAGAUCAUCACUACAGCGGGAAUCGCAUUGAAGAGAUCCUGUGCUUGUUGCGUGGCGGUGUGUUUGUGUGCUCACUUGGAUUGAGACCAGCAGUGCUUUUUUAAACAAUUCUUUAUGACAUCAAGAUGUGGUUUGGGAAGGACCUUCAUCUAAAUCUGAAGACAGGACAUACUGGCUCAAAAAGGUGUUUCUGAUAUGGAGAAAAACCCUGCACUGCUCAUUUUAUUUCUUCAUCUUGAGAAUACAGCAAGUUUACCUUUUGUCUGGAAAAUGAUUCAGCAAAGCUAACACCAACAACAAUUUUUCAUGGCACUUUAAACCACCUUGAUGUGAGGAGCCAGCAUCAGAAUGGAUGGUGUCAAUAUCCUGAAUGAAGAAGUGGAGGUAACAGAGGUACUGUAUCUCUUUUUUAUCUCCUUCAGUGUAGCAUGUCCAAACCCAUCAUUGCACACUAAACGUUAAACAUUUUUGGUGACUACAAAAGACAGUCUAUAACACUUCUAAAAUUGUACAAACAACGUAUUUCUAUAAAUUGUUUUGCCAUAACAAACCUUACUUAGUGGUAAUUGGUUCGUAUAUAGUUUUGUGUAAAUUUGUUCAUUUAACGUCU